UAAUCCAGUAAGACUGAUGCCCUUAUAAAAAGGAGAAAUCUGGACAGACAUGCACGCAAGGAGAGCACCAUGUGAAGACUGGAAGUUAUGCUGUCCCCAGAUCAAGAACUACAGACAGACCUUUUCCUAGUGCCUUCAGAGGGGCCUCCUGGCGCUGCCAAUGCCUUGAUCUGAGAUUUCUAGCCACAAAACCGUGAGACAAUAAAAUUCUAGCAUUUAAGACACUCAAUUUGUGCCUUUGGCAAACAGAAGGCAAAUAGCCAGAAGACAAAUAAAAGACUGAAAACCUCUGAAAGGAUUAGGCUUGCAGGUCACAGUGAGAUCCGUGGGAAUGGGAGAAUACAAAAUGGCAGACAAACAACAGGUUAACGUACAACUAUCAUGCACAUGACAACAAAUACAAGAAAUAUGAAAAAUGUUCAUACCUGAAGACACAUCAGGACACUCUACUAUUUUCAAAAGUAAACAUGUUGUUAGAGAUGCAAUGGAAGAGGCAUGGGGAUACAGAAGGGUACUGACAUAUUGGUUGUUUUCCCUUUUGCAAGCUAACAACUGACCAACCCUAACAGAAAAGCUGAAGGUUAAAAGAAGAAAUCUACUUGUCAUCUUUGACCAAGUUCUACAUGAACAGUUGCCCCCAAAAUCAUGAGUCUCUCACUGAAGGAAGACUCAGGAAUUGGGAGAAAAUAGUUUUUUACAAGAACUAAACAGUAAAAAUGGUAAUAUUCUACUAAUAGAGAAAUGACACUCAAGAGGUCAAAAUAAUUGGACUUCCUGACACAGCUUUGUGCAAUGUUUUCUACUUCUUUUAUAUAAUAACCUCAAAAAGACUCCAAGUGAUAUUUCUUCUAUCAUAAUGAGCAGCUACUGGGAAAAAACAGAAACUAUAAAAUUAUUUCUCCUGCUUC